rnacentral:rRNA from 1 species
GCGGCGAGCGAAGCGGGAAGAGCCCAGCGCCGAAUCCCCGGGUCCCGCUGAGGGCCCGAGGGAACUGUGGCGUAAGGAAGUCCGGCCCGGUCCGCUCGAGGCGUGCUCCGUCCCAAGGCGGGCGCCUGCUGGUCGCGGAUCAUGGCUUCCAGGAGUCGGGUUGUUUUGUAGCGCAGCCCCAAGGUGGGUGGUAAACUCCAUCCAAGGCUAAAUACCCUGCACGAGACCGAUAGAGC